rnacentral:lncRNA from 1 species
AGUAGCUUUUAAAGCUGGGCCUUAGUGGGACUCUAAAUGCAAUGAAAGCAGUCUGUGUUGAGAGACUGAAAUGCAUUUCAAAGCCAGGCCUGAUUCGGGGUACAAGGAAGAACAGACCUAUGUGCAUUUUGUAGGAAGAAAACUGUGAAUGGAAAAAGGAGAAGGGGAGAGAAACGGGGGAAAUCUGGAUAAUACAUUAAAGUAACCAUAAUUUUGGAGAUGCAUUCAUCUUAUUGAAAAUAUGUACGUAACCAGUGAUACCGAAGUCGGAUAUUUGCUCAAUCAGGAUGCUCAACAAUUUGAGCCUUUAAAGUUUGGAGCUGCAUGGGUUUGUGGAGAAAGUCGGCUCGUGAUAUUUCCUCAUGGUUGUGAUUCCUCUUCACUCUUUUGAAUUUGGAAGGAUGGCAUACACAUCUGAAAAAUACCACUACUUCCUUCAUUGGACUGCAAGGUAUUUCUGUUUGGAAAAGUAAUGGAGUCCAGUCAACUUCAUUGAUCGCCAAGGACUGUCAAAAUUAUAAAACUUGCUGUGGAGCUCUGACAUGCCAGAAGCCGCUAGAAAAAGAAGUUUGACAUUCAGAAACUUAUCAAGAGGUUCUACUCUUUGGAUAGAGACCAAAAUCAUACUUUGAAAAAGCCUGACAGGUUUCUUCGGAAAAGUGGCCAUCCAUGGAAUGAAUGAAAUGUUCUCUUUCUAUUCCAGGGAUUGCAGUGGCAAAGCUAGGCUAGGUCUUGGAGGCUGGUGUAAGGCGAUGUGGGUGAAGGCAGGAGGCUGAUGGAAAGACUGGGGGGAAGAAAAGCCGAAAUGGAUUCACGGUGCCUUGGAUGAAGGACGAGAGGGGAACUGCAAGCUCCUUCAACUGGUUCUGUCCGGUGAGAAGUGAUCAAGCUUGGGCUGACAAGAGGCUCAGGGAGCCCUCACGUUCUUUCGCUUUUUUACCUGCCAAUCAAACUGCUACAAGACAACACCCUGAUCUGGCAUGGACAUAUCCAACUUAGAAAUAAUGUUUCAUUCAAGAUAAGGCUCGUGGCUUAGGAGAUUGUGACCUGGCUUGCAUCAUUCUAAGACUUCUAUCGUCUGUUUUCAAAACCCAAGGAGGACCUCCUUUUCUGUGUGAUAGUUCCUCAUGCUUUGCCAGCCACUGGGUCUUUAAGGAAGCUUGCCAAGAGUUCCCGGCUGGGAAGGACAGUUCGAGUUCAUCAUAGACAAUGAGCUGGCACCACAGUUUAAGUGACUCACCAACCUGGUUGCCCACUUCAAAAUGUCAAGAACCACACUAUCUAAUUGAAAGAACUGUGUUUUAGCAAAGUGUAAUUGGAUCGCCUGGCAAGAUCAUCUCAAACUAUGUCUCUGACCUUGCCUUUCAGUGGCUAUUUUGAGCACAAGAGGAGAAAGGAAAUGAUUCCUGAAUUAUAUCUUGUUUUUAAAAAUUAAGAUUAAUUAAUACUUGGUUUUAUGUUCAUUCCAUUGUAGGAACUUAGUGAUUAUUACAAAACAGUCAAAAUAGGUCAUAGCAAAAUGAACGUUUAAGAUUAGGUUAAAACAUUCCUCUGAAAUUUUAGUAUUCACUUUUGAAGUGUCAAUUACUAUAUUUCUGUAAUUUCUCAUUUUUUUCUUGGCUUAGAGUCAAGAUGAAAAAUGAUAUUUGAAUCAAAGACAUUGUUUUGUUAUAUAGCCACUCCUUUCUAAAAUGCAAAUCCACCCUCCCCUCACCAAUGCUUUAUUCUUUGUGCGCGCACACACACACACACACACACACACACACACACACACACACAGACAUACACAGAACCAGCACCCAAAUGGUAGAGGAGGUCCUUCCAAGACUUCUAGGACCUGGAUCAUGUAAGCAGUAGAUGAGAAAAUGAAGUAAGAGAUAUAGAGUAAUAACAAUAAAAGUCAAUGAUUUCAUUUUACAAAAAAGUCAUUGUGUAGUACUCAGAUAUUUUUAAGAGCAAGUAUUAUUAUGACUAAAGUAUAUUAUACUUCUAAAUUAUUAUGAUUCUCAUCUAAUUUCAAGCCACACAUAGGCGCCAUUUGAAAGCAUUUUGUGUUACAACCUAUCAACAAAAAUCAACUAAUAGUUUUAUAACGUGCAUAGGUUUACCCCAUGGGGAAUUAAAAUUUUUAUCUGCAAGUAUUUCUGUUGUUGUGAGACUUUAGGACAAGACAACAUUUGGUGUUAACAUAGAAGAAUAUUCUAUGGCUUUUUUAGCUUUAAAGUUCAUUACUC